rfam:Stegodyphus mimosarum contig94363, whole genome shotgun sequence.
GCCGUGACCAUAUAGCGGUUAGUACGUAGCGUUGUGGCCGCAAUAACCCGGGUUCGAAUCCCAGUCACGGCA